UACGUAGGUGGCAAGCGUUAUCCGGAAUUACUGGGUGUAAAGGGAGCGCAGGCGGGAUAGCAAGUCAGCUGUGAAAACUAUGGGCUCAACCCAUAAACUGCAGUUGAAACUGUUAUUCUUGAGUGGAGUAGAGGCAAGCGGAAUUCCGAGUGUAGCGGUGAAAUGCGUAGAUAUUCGGAGGAACACCAGUGGCGAAGGCGGCUUUCUGGACUGUAACUGACGCUGAGGCUCGAAAGCGAGGGUAGCGAACGGG
rnacentral:rRNA from 1 species